CUACAAGGGUAUCUAAUCCUGUUUGAUCCCCACGCUUUCGUGCCUCAGUGUCAAUAUCCCUGUAGAUAGCUGCCUUCGCAAUUGGUGUUCUAUGUCAUAUCUAAGCAUUUCACCGCUACAUGACAUAUUCCGCUAUCCUCCAGAAAAUUCAAGACCCGUAGUAUCAAUGGCAGUUUCCGUGUUAAGCACGGAGAUUUCACCACUGACUUACAAACCCACCUACGCACCCUUUAAACCCAGUGAAUCCGGAUAACGCUUGCACCCUCCGUAUUACCGCGGCUGCUGG
rnacentral:rRNA from 1 species